UGUACCUUAAACCGACACAGGUAGGUAGGUAGAGUAUACCAAGGGGCGCGAGAUAACUCUCUCUAAGGAACUCGGCAAAAUAACCUCGUAACUUCGGAAGAAGAGGUACCCUUGUAAGAGGGUUGCAAUAACCAGACCCUGGCGACUGUUUACCAAAAACACAGGUCUCCGCUAAUUCGUAAGAUUAAGUAUGGAGGCUGACGCCUGCCCAGUGCCGGAAGGUUAAAGAAGUCGGUCAAUCCUUGGAUGAAGCUGGCGACUGAAGCCCCGGUGAACGGCGGCCGUAACUAUAACGGUCCUAAGGUAGCGAAGUUCCUUGUCGGGUAAGUUCCGACCCGCACGAAAGGCGUAACGAUCAGGGUGCUGUCUCGGAGAGAGGCUCGGCGAAAUAGACAUGUCUGUGAAGAUGCGGACUACCUGCACCUGGACAGAAAGACCCUAUGAAGCUUUACUGUAUCUUGGAAUUGGGUUUGGGCCUUGCUUGCGCAGGAUAGGUGAGAGGCUUUGAAGAUGCUCUUGUGGGAGCGUUGGAGCCAAUGGUGAGAUACCACUCUAGCAUGGCUAAAAUUCUAACUUUGAACCGUUAUCCGGUCGAAGAACAGUUUCAGGUGGGCAGUUUGACUGGGGCGGUCGCCUCCUAAAAGGUAACGGAGGCGUGCAAAGGUUCCCUCAGGCUGGUCGGACAUCAGUCGUAGAGUGUAAAGGCAUAAGGGAGCUUGACUGCGAGACCUACAAGUCGAGCAGAGACGAAAGUCGGCCUUAGUGAUCCGACGGUUCCGAGUGGUAGGGCCGUCGCUCAACGGAUAAAAGUUACUCUAGGAUAACAGGCUGAUCUCCCCCAAGAGUUCAUAUCGACGGGGAGGUUUGGCACCUCGAUGUCGGCUCAUCGCAUCCUGGGGCGGUAGUACGUCCCAAGGGUUGGGCUGUUCGCCCAUGAAAGCGGUACGCGAGCUGGGUUCAGAACGUCGUGAGACAGUUCGGUCCAUAUCCGGUGCAGGCGUUAGAGUAUUGAGAGGAGUCCCCCUUAGUACGAGAGGACCGGGGGGAAUACACCGCUGGUGUACCAGUUAUCGUGCCAACGGUAGGCGCUGGGUAGCCAAGUGUAGAGUGGAUAACUGCUGAAAGCAUCUAAGUAGGAAGCCCACCUCAAGAUGAGUACUCUCACCGUUGUAAACGGUUAAGAUCACGGCAAGAACAGCCGUUAUAUAGGCACUAAGUGUAAGUACAGUAAUGUAUUCAGCUGAGGUGUACUAACAGAUCGAGGGCUUGAU
rnacentral:rRNA from 1 species